rnacentral:rRNA from 1 species
CCUUCCUUGGGUGGAACCUGUGUGGCAUUAGGUUGUCGUGCAGGGGAUGCCCAUCGUUUACUGUGAAAAAAUUAGAGUGUUCGAAGCAGGCUUAUGCCGUUGAAUAUAUUAGC